GUGCCUGCUUCGGCAGCACAUAUACUAAAAUUGGAAUACAGAGAAUAUUAGCAUGGCUCUUGUGCAAGGAUGACACACAAAUUCGUGAAGCCUUCCAUAUUUUU
ensembl:snRNA U6 U6 spliceosomal RNA